ACAAAGAAGGACUGGUUGGAGAUGUGAAGGUUGGGGGCAGCCUUGGCUGUAGUGACUAUGAGAUGGUGGAGUUCAGGAUCCUGCAAGGAGGAAGCAGGGCAAAAAGUAUUAUCACAACCCUGGACUCCAGGAGAGCAAACUUUGGCCUCUUCAGGGACGUUCUUGGAAGAAUCCCAUGGGAUAGCGCUCUAGAGGGAAGAGGGAUCCAAGAGAGCUGGUUAAUCUUCAAGGAUCGCUUCCUCCAAGCUCAAGAGCGAUACAUCCCAAUGAGCAGGAAUUCAAGCAAAUGGGGCAGGAAACCUGCAUGGAUGAACAAGGAGCUCCUGGAAAAACUCAGAAGGAAGUGUACAGAAGAUGGAAGCAGGGACAGACCACUUGGGAGCAUGAUAGGAAAGUUGUCAGAGUAUGCAGGGAUGUGACUAGGAAGGCCAAAACCCUUUUGGAGUUGAAUCUGGCAAGGGAUGUGAAGGACAGCAAGGAGGGCUUUAAAUGCAUUAGUAACAAAAGGAAGGCUAGGAGGAAUGUGGGCCCCCUGCUGAAUGGGGUGGGUGCCCUGGUGACGAAGGAUGCAGAGAAGGCAGAGUUACUGAAUGCCUUCUUUGCUUCAGUCUUUACUGCUCAGGCCAGCCCUCAGGAACCCCAGAUCCUGGAGGCAAGAGAGAAAGACUGGAGAAAGGAAGACUUUCCCUUGGUCAAGGAGGAUUGGAUUAGAGAUCAUUUAGGCAAAUUUGUCACCCACAAGUCCAUGGACCCUGAUGGGAUGCACCCACGAAUGCUGAGGGAGCUGGCGGACAUCAUUGCUAGGCCACUCUCCAUCAUCUUUGAAAGGUCAUGGAGACCAGGAGAGGUGCCUGAAGACUGGAAGAAAGCCAAUGUUACCCCAGUCUUCCAAAAGGGCAAGAAGGAGGACCCAGGGAACUCCAGGCCAGUCAGCCUCACCUGCAUCCCUGGAAAGGUGAUGGAGCAGCUCAUCCUGGAGGCCAUCUCCAAGCAUGUGGAGGAUAAGAAGGUGAUGAGGAGCAGUCAGCAUGGCUUCACCAAGGGGAAAUCAUGCUUAAGCAAUCUGAUAGCCUUUUAUGAUGGGAUGACUGGCUGGGUAGAUGAGGGGAGAGCAGUGGAUGUUGUCUACCUUGACUUCAGUGAGGCUUUCGACACUGUCUCCCAKAACAUCCUCAUAGACAAGCUCAGGAAGUGUGGGCUAGAUGAGUGGACAGUGAGGUGGAUUGAAAACUGGCUGAAUGGCAGAGCUCAGAGNNN
rnacentral:lncRNA from 1 species